rnacentral:rRNA from 1 species
UACGUAGGGGGCAAGCGUUGUCCGGAAUCAUUGGGCGUAAAGAGCGUGUAGGCGGUUCGGUAAGUCGGCUGUGAAAGUCCAGGGCUCAACCCUGGGAUGCCGGCCGAUACUGCCGGACUAGAGUUCGGAAGAGGCGAGUGGAAUUCCCGGUGUAGCGGUGAAAUGCGCAGAUAUCGGGAGGAACACCUAUGGCGAAGGCAGCUCGCUGGGACGUUACUGACGCUGAGACGCGAAAGCGUGGGGAGCGAACAGG